UUAACGAAUAUAAAAUCCCUGCUGAGAACAUAUCAAGAGCCAUGGAGAAUGAGUUUUUAACCGUGACUGGAAAAUUCAGAGUUGAAUAUCCUGGUGUUCAAAGUCAACUGCGGCGCAAUAUCUCCCAAGUUUUGAACAAAUUCCAGGCAUUGCUUAACUUAGGUGUUCAGAAAAG
rnacentral:misc_RNA from 1 species